rnacentral:rRNA from 1 species
CUCUAUGGCCAUAUCUCCUCAGAUGCACCUGAUCUCAUCUGAUCUUGGAAACUAGGCUGGGUUGGGCCUCAGAAGGCAGAUAGACCUGAAGAGGUAAGGUGAGGAAUGGGAGGAACUAUAGGAA